rnacentral:piRNA from 1 species
GCUUUAAACAUGGAUGUACUCCAGAUAGC